rnacentral:rRNA from 1 species
CCCUCCCUCUUUCUUCAGGCUUAACACAUGCAAGUCGAACGAAUCACUUCGGUGGUGUGGGGCAGACGGGUGAGUAACCCGUGGGAACGUACCCAUCGACCUGGGAUAACCUCGGGAAACUGGAGCUAAUACCGGAUACGCUCUUUUGGGGAAAGUUUUACUGUCGGAGGAUCGGCCCGCGUCUGAUUCGCUUGUUGGUGGGGUAACGGCCUAUCAAGGCGACGAUCGGUAGCUGGUCUGAGAGGAUGAUCAGCCACACUGGGACUGAGACACGGCCCAGACUCCUACGGGAGGCAGCAGUGGGGAAUAUUGGACAAUGGGCGCAAGCCUGAUCCAGCCAUGCCGCGUGAGUGAUGAAGGCCUUAGGGUUGUAAAGCUCUUUUGUCCGGGACGAUAAUGACGGUACCGGGAGAAUAAGCCCCGGCUAACUUCGUG